GGGCGUUAAGUUGCAGGGUAUAGACCCGAAACCCGGUGAUCUAGCCAUGGGCAGGUUGAAGGUUGGGUAACACUAACUGGAGGACCGAACCGACUAAUGUUGAAAAAUUAGCGGAUGACCUGUGGCUGGGGGUGAAAGGCCAAUCAAACCGGGAGAUAGCUGGUUCUCCCCGAAAGCUAUUUAGGUAGCGCCUCGUGAAUUCAUCUCCGGGGGUAGAGCACUGUUUCGGCUAGGGGGCCAUCCCGGCUUACCAACCCGAUGCAAACUGCGAAUACCGGAGAAUGUUAUCACGGGAGACACACGGCGGGUGCUAACGUCCGUCGUGAAGAGGGAAACAACCCAGACCGCCAGCUAAGGUCCCAAAGUCAUGGUUAAGUGGGAAACGAUGUGGGAAGGCCCAGACAGCCAGGAUGUUGGCUUAGAAGCAGCCAUCAUUUAAAGAAAGCGUAAUAGCUCACUGGUCGAGUCGGCCUGCGCGGAAGAUGUAACGGGGCUAAACCAUGCACCGAAGCUGCGGCAGCGAACGUAUCACUUAAAGCGAUUCAGCGGAUGACGAUUGACGGAGCGAAGCGACGUCAAAGCGUAUACAAAGUCGAGUCGGUUUAAGGAUACGUUCGUUGGGUAGGGGAGCGUUCUGUAAGCCUGCGAAGGUGGCCUGUGAGGGUUGCUGGAGGUAUCAGAAGUGCGAAUGCUGACAUAAGUAACGAUAAAGCGGGUGAAAAGCCCGCUCGCCGGAAGACCAAGGGUUCCUGUCCAACGUUAAUCGGGGCAGGGUGAGUCGACCCCUAAGGCGAGGCCGAAAGGCGUAGUCGAUGGGAAACGGGUUAAUAUUCCCGUACUUGGUGUUACUGCGAAGGGGGGACGGAGAAGGCUAUGUUGGCCGGGCGACGGUUGUCCCGGUUUAAGCGUAUAGG
rnacentral:rRNA from 1 species